UUGUCUCACCUCGAUUUUGCCCAUACAAAAAUGGGAGAAGUUGGGAAAAGUCAGGAGUUUGAACCGACUUCUCCCAUUUUCACCUAACUUCUCCCAAAUUUGUAUGGGCAAAAUCGAGGUGAGACAAA
rnacentral:pre_miRNA from 1 species